CCAAAACCCAAAAUCACAAGCCUUAGGUUUCCACUGUUGCUUCAAGUCUGAAAUUGGAAAUACAAUCAAAGAGGAAAAAGUUCUGAAAUUUGAAAUACAACCCCCCUAGGUUUAUCUUGAUCUCUCUCUCCUCUCUUCUUCAUCUCUGCAACGCCAGCUUCUAACUCAUCCAUCUCUGCAACGCCAGCGCUUCACCAAACCCAAAAUGAAAUCAAACACACCGAGUCUCUUUCCCCACUAGCUCCCUCUUCUCUCUUGCUAUUCCAUUCUUGUCUCCUGCACGCUUGCUCGAUGAUUCCUCUCUCCAUCGGCACUAUCGCUCUUCCUCAUCACUAGCCGGGCUCGAUCUUCUCUGGAAUCUUCGUCGCCACUGUGACAAUCUAACAGAGCACACAAACUUGCCAUGAAACACAUUAUUGAAUGAAGCUUCUAUUUGGACCAAGAAUUUGCAGACAAGGUAUUCUUGUCUAACAGCGUAUGAUUUGGAGGGGUGGUCCAGAGUCGUAAAUCUAAUGGCUAUAGUGACGUUUUUUUUUAUCGUACUAGAUAGCUUGGUUUAUUUCUUUGAAUGUUUGUAUCAAAAUAUUCUACUUUAAUGGAUAUUAAAUUUCAGCUUGACAAUUUUUUAAUA